rnacentral:rRNA from 1 species
AGAGUUUGAUCCUGGCUCAGGAUGAACGCUAGCGGCAGGCCUAACACAUGCAAGUCGAGGGGCAUCACGAGGUAGCAAUACUUUGGUGGCGACCGGCGCACGGGUGCGUAACGCGUAUGUAACCUACCUAUAACAGGGGCAUAACACUGAGAAAUUGGUACUAAUUCCCCAUAAUAUUCGGAGAGGCAUCUCUCCGGGUUGAAAACUCCGGUGGUUAUAGAUGGACAUGCGUUGUAUUAGCUAGUUGGUGAGGUAACGGCUCACCAAGGCAACGAUACAUAGGGGGACUGAGAGGUUAACCCCCCACACUGGUACUGAGACACGGACCAGACUCCUACGGGAGGCAGCAGUGAGGAAUAUUGGUCAAUGGACGCAAGUCUGAACCAGCCAUGCCGCGUGCAGGAAGACGGCUCUAUGAGUUGUAAACUGCUUUUGUACGAGGGUAAACUCACCUACGUGUAGGUGACUGAAAGUAUCGUACGAAUAAGGAUCGGCUAACUCCGUGCCAGCAGCCGCGGUAAUACGGAGGAUCCAAGCGUUAUCCGGAUUUAUUGGGUUUAAAGGGUGCGUAGGCGGCAGAUUAAGUUAGAGGUGAAAUUCCGAGGCUCAACCUUGGCACUGCCUCUGAUACUGGUUUGCUAGCGAGUAGAUGCUGUAGGCGGAAUGUGUGGUGUAGCGGUGAAAUGCAUAGAGAUCACACAGAACACCGAUUGCGAAGGCAGCUUACAAAUCUAUAUCGGACGCUGAGGCACGAAAGCGUGGGGAGCAAACAGGAUUAGAUACCCUGGUAGUCCACGC